rnacentral:rRNA from 1 species
UGCUUGUCUCAAAGAUUAAGCCAUGCUUGCCUAAGUAUAAAUAGUAUACAGUGAAACUGCGAAUGGCUCAUUAAAACAGUUAUAGUUUAUUUGAUAAUUGACAAUUACAUGGAUAACCGUGGUAAUUCUAGAGCUAAUACAUGCUUAAACGCCCGACUUUAUGGAAGGGUGGUAUUUAUUAGACUGAAGCCAAUAUUCCUUGUGUCUAUUGCGGUGAUUCAUAAUAACUGAUCGAAUCUCUUUUUGAGAUAAAUCAUUCAAGUUUCUGCCCUAUCAGCUUUCGAUGGUAGUGUAUUGGACUACCAUGGCAGUAACGGGUAACGAAGAAUUAGGGUUCGAUUUCGGAGAGGGAGCAUGAGAAACGGCUACCACAUCUAAGGAAGGCAGCAGGCGCGUAAAUUACCCAAUCCUGACUCAGGGAGGUAGUGACAAGAAAUAGCAAACCGGGAACCUCAUGGUUUCACGGUAUUGCAAUGAGAACAAUUUAAAACCCUUAGCGAGAAUCAAGUGGAGGACAAGUCUGGUGCCAGCACCCGCGGUAAUUCCAGCUCCACUAGCGUAUAUUAAAGUUGUUGCAGUUAAAAAGCUCGUAGUUGAACCUCUGUCUGGGGCUAGUUUUGGCUUUGGUCAGGCUAGUUCUAGGCAUCCGCCUACAAGACUUAGAGGGCAUUCAGUUGUUCACUAGGAGGAGUAGGCAUUUUACUUUGAAAAAAUUAGAGUGUUUAAGGCAGGCAAUCGCCCGCAUAUAUUAGCAUGGAAUAAUAGAAUAGGACACUUUUCCAUUUCGUUGGUUAUUGGAAUCGUGUAAUGAUUAAUAGGGACAGUUGUGGGCGUUUGUAUUUAAUUGUCAGAGGUGAAAUUCUUGGAUUUAUUAAAGACAAACUGACGCGAAAGCAUUUGCCAAGGAUGUUUUCAUUAAUCAAGAACGAAAGUUAGGGGAUCAAGGACGAUCAGAUACCGUCCUAGUCUUAACUAUAAACUAUUCCGACUCAAUGUUUGACUGGCUUAUAUAACCAGUUGAGCGUUGUAUGAGAAAUCAAAGUCUUUGGGUUCUGGGGGGAGUAUGGUUGCAAAGCUGAAACUUAAAGGAAUUGACGGAAGAGCACAACCAGGAGUGGAUUCUGCGGCUUAAUUUGACUCAACACGGGGAAACUUACCAGGUUAAAACAAUAGUGGGAUUGACAGUUUGAGAGCGCUUUCUUGAUUGGUUGGGUGGUGGUUCAUGGCCGUUCUUAGUUGGUGGAGUGAUUUGUCUGCUUAAUUGCGUUAACGAACGAGACCUUAACCUGCUUACUAGACU